rnacentral:rRNA from 1 species
AGUGAACGCUGGCGGUAGGCCUAACACAUGCAAGUCGAACGGCAGCACAGUAAGAGCUUGCUCUUACGGGUGGCGAGUGGCGGACGGGUGAGGAGUACAUCGGAAUCUACUUUUUCGUGGGGGAUAACGUAGGGAAACUUACGCUAAUACCGCAUACGACCUACGGGUGAAAGCAGGGGAUCUUCGGACCUUGCGCGAUUGAAUGAGCCGAUGUCGGAUUAGCUAGUUGGCGGGGUAAAGGCCCACCAAGGCGACGAUCCGUAGCUGGUCUGAGAGGAUGAUCAGCCACACUGGAACUGAGACACGGUCCAGACUCCUACGGGAGGCAGCAGUGGGGAAUAUUGGACAAUGGGCGCAAGCCUGAUCCAGCCAUACCGCGUGGGUGAAGAAGGCCUUCGGGUUGUAAAGCCCUUUUGUUGGGAAAGAAAAGCAGCGGGUUAAUACCCCGCUGUUCUGACGGUACCCAAAGAAUAAGCACCGGCUAACUUCGUG